rnacentral:rRNA from 1 species
AUUGAACGCUGGCGGCAGGCCUAACACAUGCAAGUCGAACGGAGCGGCGGUCGGGUGAGUAAUGCCUAGGAAUCUGCCUGGUAGUGGUGGAUAACGUCCGGAAACGGGCGCUAAUACCGCUUCCUAUCAGAUUCGCCUAUGUCGGAUUAGCUCGUUGGUGGGGUAACGGCCUACCAGGGCGACGAUCCGUAACUGGUCUGAGAGGAUGAUCAGGCACACUGGAACUGAGACACGGUCCAGACUCCUAAGGGAGGCAGCAGUGGGGAAUAUUGGACAAUGGGCGAAAGCCUGAUGCAGCCAUGCCGCGUGUGUGAAGAAGGUCUUCGGAUUGUAAAGCACUUUAAGUUGGGAGGCGUUACCAACAGAAUAAGCACCGGCUAACUUCGUGCCAGCCGCCGCGGUAAUAC